UUUGUCAACGGUAAGCGGACCGCAGGGAGCAUUAAGGAGUUGACAAAUUUUACUACU
rnacentral:sRNA from 1 species